rnacentral:rRNA from 1 species
AGAUUAAGUUAUUAAGGGCGCACGGUGGAUGCCUUGGCACUAGAAGCCGAUGAAGGACGUUACUAACAACGAUAUGCUUUGGGGAGCUGUAAGUAAGCUUUGAUCCAGAGAUUUCCGAAUGGGGAAACCCAGCAUGAGUUAUGUCAUGUUAUCGAUAUGUGAAUACAUAGCAUAUCAGAAGGCACACCCGGAGAACUGAAACAUCUUAGUACCCGGAGGAAGAGAAAGAAAAUUCGAUUCCCUUAGUAGCGGCGAGCGAAACGGGAAGAGCCCAAACCAACAAGCUUGCUUGUUGGGGUUGUAGGACACUCUAUACGGAGUUACAAAGGACGACAUUAGACGAAUCAUCUGGAAAGAUGAAUCAAAGAAGGUAAUAAUCCUGUAGUCGAAAAUGUUGUCUCUCUUGAGUG